rnacentral:rRNA from 1 species
AGAGUUUGAUCCUGGCUCAGGAUGAACGGCUGGCGGCGUGCCUAACACAUGCAAGUCGAACGAGCGAGAGAUGAAACCUAGUGAUUCUCGAGCGAGUGGCGGACGGGUGAGUAACGCGUGGGUAACCUGCCUUACAGAGGGGGAUAACAGUCUGAAAAGACUGCUAAUACCGCAUAAGCACACAGUACCGCAUGGUACAGGGUGAAAAGAUUUAUCACUGUAAGAUGGACCCGCGUCUGAUUAGCCAGUUGGCAGGGUAACGGCCUACCAAAGCGACGAUCAGUAGCCGACCUGAGAGGGUGAUCGGCCACAUUGGGACUGAGACACGGCCCAAACUCCUACGGGAGGCAGCAGUGGGGGAUAUUGCACAAUGGAGGAAACUCUGAUGCAAGCGACGCCGCGUGAGUGAAGAAGUAUUUCGGUAUGUAAAGCUCUAUCAGCAGGGAAGAUAAUGACCAGUACCUGACCAAGAAGCCCGGCUAACUACGUGCCAGCCGCCGC